UUACCAUGCAGUCGAACGAUGAUCCCAGCUUGCUGGGGGAUUAGUGGCGAACGGGUGAGUAACACGUGAGUAACCUGCCCUUGACUCUGGGAUAAGCCUGGGAAACUGGGUCUAAUACCGGAUAUGACCAUUCCACGCAUGUGGUGGUGGUGGAAAGCUUUUGUGGUUUUGGAUGGACUCGCGGCCUAUCAGCUUGUUGGUGGGGUAAUGGCCUACCAAGGCGACGACGGGUAGCCGGCCUGAGAGGGUGACCGGCCACACUGGGACUGAGACACGGCCCAGACUCCUACGGGAGGCAGCAGUGGGGAAUAUUGCACAAUGGGCGCAAGCCUGAUGCAGCGACGCCGCGUGAGGGAUGACGGCCUUCGGGUUGUAAACCUCUUUCAGUAGGGAAGAAGCGAAAGUGACGGUACCUGCAGAAGAAGCGCCGGCUAACUACGUGCCAGCAGCCGCGGUAAUACGUAGGGCGCAAGCGUUAUCCGGAAUUAUUGGGCGUAAAGAGCUCGUAGGCGGUUUGUCGCGUCUGCUGUGAAAGACCGGGGCUCAACUCCGGUUCUGCAGUGGGUACGGGCAGACUAGAGUGCAGUAGGGGAGACUGGAAUUCCUGGUGUAGCGGUGAAAUGCGCAGAUAUCAGGAGGAACACCGAUGGCGAAGGCAGGUCUCUGGGCUGUAACUGACGCUGAGGAGCGAAAGCAUGGGGAGCGAACAGGAUUAGAUACCCUGGUAGUCCAUGCCGUAAACGUUGGGCACUAGGUGUGGGGGACAUUCCACGUUUUCCGCGCCGUAGCUAACGCAUUAAGUGCCCCGCCUGGGGAGUACGGCCGCAAGGUA
rnacentral:rRNA from 1 species